rfam:Erinaceus europaeus unplaced genomic scaffold scaffold00496, whole genome shotgun sequence
GCUUUCAUUCUAGCAGCACAUAUACUAAAAAAGAAACAAUACAGAGAAGAUUAGCAUGUCCCUUUCAGAUGACAUGCAACUUUGUGAAGUGUUCCUUAUUUUU